AUACUGUGCUUUGUUGAAUCUGCAUCAGCAAAGCAGAUAAGCUCAGCCUCUUCAUCUGGAAAAGGAACAGAGGAGUAGCUCCAGGAGACAGUGCAAUACUCCAGGAUACUGUGAAGAUUUCAGGCAACAAGAUGACUUUCAGGUGGGGAUCAACAACUCUUGAGUCUGGAAGAGGUGAUCCUUGAAAAUCAGUCAGCCUUCCUGAACUCCUCCUCUCUUCUGCAAGAUGCUGUCACGUGGGAUACUUCCAAGCAGAUGUUGGAUUGGAGAGGCUAUUUAUGAACAUCAAACUGUGGUCCAUUUCUCCCUGGAGUAUCUUGCAGAUGCACAGCUGCAGCUCUUCAGCACCAAGGGAAGAAUGAGCUAUCCACAGACACCAGCAAAAAGCCAGGCACAUUCAGGCCACACAAGGAACUGCAUCUAUAUCCAGAGCAAAAACUUGGCAGUUGUCUCAAGGGAGCAAAGUUUCUCUCAUGCCCGAUUUAUAACCAACCAAGAAUUUCUCAGAAAUUGGGUUUUAACAUUUGUCAGCCACAAGUUGUCAACCAAGCCUAUUUUCUCCUGAAAUCACUUGGAACAAGGGUCAUCCCAAAACAAAAGCAAUUCAAGCAGCCUAUCUGAGAGGAAGAUGAGGAAGGAAGGAAGGAAGAAGACUUAUUUCAUCUUCUGCACUGCGGAUCAUUUUUACAUCAUCUCAGAUUAUGCAAUAUACCAUGGCAGGGACUGUGAAGCAGGAGUUCAUUGAGAAAGGGCACUUUCAUUAGCACUGCUGCACUGUGUGCUCUCAGAUGUCUGAGGUGGAAAGGUCACAGUCACAGACUUCACAGCACCACGAUCUGGCCUGUCUACACCCAGCCCUGGUUAUCCAGAGUUAUGAGGAAGGGAGGUUAAAUGCUUUCAUAUGAGGUCUGUGUUUAUCCUGGUGGCAUACAAAGAAGAAUCACGUUAAAUUAAGUAGCUGCCUUCUUAAGAAUGGCAAUUACUGUGAAGCACAGAUUAAAGUAAAAUUCCAUGAAUUA